AGAGCCCAAACUAUUUUUUAAUUCUUUUUUGUUUCCAAUGACAGGUGAACCCCAUACAUCCACACAUGAUGACAACGAUUAGCCAACCUCAUCGUUACAUGUGACAUGUUAAGCGGUGUCAUGAUAGGCUUAUUAUUUCAGAUUAUAAAAGCUAUAUUUAUUAUUCAUGCUAUAUUUGUAUAAUCAUCUCUUCACCGAACUAAUGCAUCUAAAUAACUUAUCAUUGUAUUGAGUGUGUUAGGGAUACACAAUUUUUUAUAUAUGAUUGCAGCUUUGUUUCAGAGAGGUCAUCUUCAUCCUACAUCUUUGAUGAAUUGAUAAAUUUUAGGUCAUUCAUUUGCUUGAGAAAAAUUUGCUGCUGUCUUACAAAACUCUGCGUUUGAAGGCCCAACCAAGUCCAGAGGAAGAAAGUUGCAUAGUAGACAUCAAGCUAUUUGUGGCGCCGUUGUCAGGGAGGUGUUUUGAAUGUAUAUCUUUAGAUCUUGUAAUUGAAUAUUUUGGUUUAUUGUUUAUUCACUAGUUUGGUUUAUAAAAAACCUAUAUAAAAAUGGAAUUGAAGUUGCAUCAAAUUCUUUAUCUUUAUAAAGUCUUUUUUGAAAAUAUGGAUUCCAAUAAUUGCUAUGAAUUCUUAAAAUAAGAAUUUAACACAAUGUUUGGUGCGAGUUCCGUGAAUGACAAUAAUGACUGCAAUGUUGUCAGUAUGUCUUAUUUGAACAUCUGUAAUGCUAAUGAUAUGCAAGACCAUAACCUCCCUCAUGUUUGAUAAGGAGAGGGCAUGCUAUGGGAAAAGAAUGGAUUGGUGCUAGCCACGCCUAGCUGGAAGAGAAGGCCCUCUUUCUCGUCCGCGACGCUGUUUCAUCCAUCUGCGUCGGAGAUCAAGCACCACGAGUGCAGGGUGAGCGACAGCGAGAUGAGGAUGGGAGGGAUAAGAAAGGGAUGUGGACGGAUGGGAGAUAGGGAGAGAGAGGGGAGGAGGAGGGUUCUACCUCUACAACGAUGAGGAUGCCCGUCAGCAAUGUGGACACAGAUGACAGUGCUGCGAGAUCCACUUCUAUCGCAGGAGAUGGAGGGGAGCGAGGAAAGCACGCCCGAAUGAGUCGGGUGUGAGCGAAAUCCUAUCCCCUGGCUCGGGUGUCGGGUGGGUGCAAGCGCGCGUGCAGGCUCGCGGAAAUGGCCGAAACAUGUGUUUUCCGUUGGGAGCCUCUUUUUGCAUGCGUCAGGCCUACCCAGUUAGACGUGUAGGCUACCAAACAUCAAGAAUACUGCAUGGUGGCUUGGUGGGUGCGAGCCAAGUGGGGAGGCCCUAAUCGAUGCUGUAGGCGCCCGAUCAGGAACUGGCGCCUGCUAGCUCGGUUUUGAGCCGACCUAGUUACAUGAGCGGCGCACUCGUCCGCUCCGAGCGCUCGACUCGUUCCUCGUGGUUGCUCGCACGACACCAGUUUCAACGUUGACUUUUAAAAAAUAGAUAAACAAAUAAAUAAAAAAAUUCACAAAAAGGAAAAAAAAUGAGAGUCCCAAACGGUUCACGAAUUUUGAAGUAGUUCAUUUAAAUUUUAGAAAAGUAUAGCGAAUUUGACAAAAAGUUCAUCAAUUUUCGAAAAAGUUUAUCGAUUUUGAAAAAAAAUCAUCGAAUUUUGGAAAAAAUUCAUCGAUUUUGAAAAAAUGCACUAGUUUAGGACAAAUGUUCAUCGAAUUUGAAAAGAGUUCAUCAAAUUUGGAAUUUUUUCACUGAUUUUGAAAACAUUUCAUCAAAUUGAAAAAGAGUUCAUCAAAUUUGAAAAAAAGUUCAUCGAUUUUGGGAAAAAAAUCAUCAAAUUUCAAAAGAAGUUCUAAAAUUUGAAAAAAGUUCAUCAUUUUAAAAAGAACAAAUUCGAUGAACUCUUUUCAAAUCGUUGAACCAGGGCAAAGAAAAAAAAGAAAAAAAUCGUUGAACCAGGUCAAAGAAAAAAAAAGAAAAAGGAAAA
rnacentral:lncRNA from 1 species